rnacentral:rRNA from 1 species
GACGAACGCUGGCGGCGUGCCUAAUACAUGCAAGUCGAGCGCAGGAAGCCGUCUGAACCCUUCGGGGGGACGACGGUGGAAUGAGCGGCGGACGGGUGAGUAACACGUAAAGAACCUGCUCAUAGGUCUGGGAUAACCACGAGAAAUCGGGGCUAACACCGGAUGUGUCAUCGGACCGCAUGGUCCGCUGAUGAAAGGCGCACCGGCGGCGCCCAUGGAUGGCUUUGCGGUGCAUUAGCUAGUUGGUGGGGUAACGGCCCACCAAGGCGACGAUGCAUAGCCGACCUGAGAGGGUGAUCGGCCACACUGGGACUGAGACACGGCCCAGACUCCUACGGGAGGCAGCAGUAGGGAAUCUUCCACAAUGGACGAAAGUCUGAUGGAGCAACGCCGCGUGAACGAUGAAGGCUUUCGGGUCGUAAAGUUCUGUUGUAAGGGAAGAACAAGUGCCGCAGGCAAUGGCGGCACCUUGACGGUACCUUGCGAGAAAGCCACGGCUAACUACGUGCCAGCCGCCGCCGUAAUAC